UUGAAUUUCCAACCCCUAUGUCACACUUUUGCUUCAUUAUUUUGAAAACCACCAAUAUGUUUCCUCAUAGAUUUUUUUAUACUAUACUAUACUUAUUUCAGAUGAAGAUAUAAAUUUAUUCAAAGAAAUAAUGGGACAAUGAAUGCUAAAAUUGCCAAGAAGAAGACUGCCAAUUUACACACCAUUUUAUACAGUUACAGUAUGAUAUGGUGAACAAAAUGCCUCAAUGCAGCCAGUUCUGGAGCUUUGGCUAGACUAUGAACAGUAGACAUCAAAAGAUGAUCAUCUGAAGGGCCACAAUUGUUUAAAGCACUAGUCAACAAAAACUGAACUAUUUGAUGGAUCAUACAUCUGCAGAAUGUACUACCAUAUUUCCAGAAUCAGAGAAAUAGAAAUAUCUAGUAUUAGA